UUGAACGCUGGCGGCAUGCCUUACACAUGCAAGUCGAACGGCAGCGCGGGGGUGACCCUGGCGGCGAGUGGCGAACGGGUGAGUAAUAUAUCGGAACGUGCCCUGGAGUGGGGGAUAACUAGUCGAAAGACUGGCUAAUACCGCAUACGAUCUAAGGAUGAAAGCGGGGGACCGUAAGGCCUCGCGCUCGUGGAGCGGCCGAUAUCUGAUUAGCUAGUUGGUGGGGUAAAGGCCCACCAAGGCGACGAUCAGUAGCUGGUCUGAGAGGACGACCAGCCACACUGGGACUGAGACACGGCCCAGACUCCUACGGGAGGCAGCAGUGGGGAAUUUUGGACAAUGGGGGCAACCCUGAUCCAGCAAUGCCGCGUGUGUGAAGAAGGCCUUCGGGUUGUAAAGCACUUUUGUCCGGAAAGAAAUCGCUCUGGUUAAUACCUGGGGUGGAUGACGGUACUGGAAGAAUAAGCACCGGCUAACUACGU
rnacentral:rRNA from 1 species